AGCAGGCCGGCAAACAUCCCAGAGCGUGAACCACUGGCGACAUGAGUUGGCUGUGCUGUCCCCGCACCCUGCCAUGGCUGCUGACCAGGACAAGCUGCCCCUCGCUAGAAGCCUCUGGAUGGGAGAGAAUUCUCUGCUCUUCGUUCCUGGUUGCGGGGACGCACCUCCCAAUCUGUGCUUCUGGACAGCAGUGAGGUCUCAUGUGCUCCAUAGACACCCUGGACAGACCACAGCAAAAUAUAGGGUGGGCCUCAGGGGCCUGCAGGUGCCUUCAAUUUACGGCUGCAGGACAACAGAAGGGGCGUGUCUCUCGCUGAAUUAAGACAGAAGAGAGAGGUUCUUUAUUAAACCCAGAAGAAUUGGUCUUCUCUGGAGGAGGCACCUCAGAGCAGCAGGACCGGGCUCCCUGCCCCCAGCGCCUCCCUGGAUGGCCUCCCGUUCUGUCUCCCCAGCAGCCUCCAUGGGCUCAGGUCUGUGCUGCUUCAGGUCUGAAACUAUGUCUUCUCUCUCCUGUUUCCGAAUGGCUCAUUCUGCUGCCCAUCAGAUAGGCCCUUUCCCCAGGACCCUUGGGGUCCAGGUGAGCAGAGCAGCCGGCCACGCUGGAAGCCCUGAGUGUUCCCCACCUGGGCCUUCCUCUCUGUCCCUGACAUCCAGCCGGGCACCUAUCCGGGCAGCUGAAAGUCAUCCCCAAGUCCAGCCUCCUCGCCCCACCACUGCACCUUGCUCUGCACUCCCGGACGUCAGUCUCUCACUGAGCACUAUCCGUGGCUUGCGUCGUCUGCGGCUGACACAUCCUUUCAGAUGCAUGCCUCCCUCUGUCAUAUGUAUCCAGGGUAGGAUCCGAGCCGCCAGGACCCCAGUAAAGACUUGCUGGCUGCUUUAAGAGCGGGCACCUGCGCGUGUGUUUUGCUCAGCGUUUUCCCUACGCUGUCAGUGCGCUGGGUAGCUCUACUCAACCCACAAUGAUGGCAGAUCUUUUGAGCACUGCAUCCACGACUUUGUCUGGAACCACCAUGGAAGGCAUCCAGAAGCCUAGCUCUCUUCCUAUGAGCAUUCAGGAUUCCCAGAUCCCCAAAAGACCCUAACACCAUCUCCAGGUGAACAGCUGCCCGUGUUUGCCUGGGGGAGGGAGUGCCCUGCCUGAGGCGGAGGGAGCACUGCACCCCUUUGGAGGUGGGUGAGCCUCACAUGUUCUCCACAGCGCAUGAGGAGGGCACCGGAGAGCAGCCCCCGCCCCUCCACAGCGGACAUAGGUGGGGUUGUAAAUUACGAGUCAAAAAUCUCCUCUUCACACGACUGAAUUAUUCAUGAAGUAAGUGCUGUGGUUUGGGUCCUGCUGGUCUAUGAAUGUACAGGUGAAUUGUUUAUUAUGGCACAUGGAUUUUGCAAAGAAGUUGUCCAAAAACUCUUCAAGCGCAGUGGUUGAAUUUAACAAACAUUGACUGCGCACCGACUCUAGGACAGAAAUUGUGAUAGGUGUUAAGGAGACAAAGAUGAAUAAGACAGUAAGCACCUGCCUUCAGUGUGCUCUGGGGUUCGCAGGGAGAACACACAACCAGCUGGUCCACAGAGACGGAUUACUAUCAGCAUUAUUCACGGCGUAUGG
rnacentral:lncRNA from 13 species